UGGAAAUUAUUUUUUAAGAAUGGAGUGAGCACAAGAAAUCAUCUAAAGUUGAUGAUUAGAGCGAGAUUUCUGAAUGAAAAAUUGUUUACACAUAGAAAAGAUAAAAUGAACUGACCAGACAUAAAUAAUUGCUACGGAUAACAGAAUUUAUUUCACAGGAUUAUAAAUCAUCAUGGUGCAAUAGAAUCUGUUCUGAUGUGAAAACAUCAUUGAUAUUGGUCUGUGCUGUGUAAUAAUGUAUC